rnacentral:rRNA from 1 species
UACGGGGGGGGCAAGCGUUGUUCGGAAUUACUGGGCGUAAAGGGCUCGUAGGCGGCCAACUAAGUCAGACGUGAAAUCCCCAGGCUUAACCUGGGAACUGCGUCUGAUACUGGAUGGCUUGAAUUCGGGAGAGGGAUGCAGAAUUCCAGGUGUAGCGGUGAAAUGCGUAGAUAUCUGGAGGAAUACCGGUGGCGAAGGCGGCAUCCUGGACCGACAUUGACGCUGAGGAGCGAAAGCCAGGGGAGCAAACGGGG